ensembl:snoRNA SNORA62 Small nucleolar RNA SNORA62/SNORA6 family
UGUGCAUGUUUUUAGAGCUUGGGGUUGAGGCUCUGGCCCAUGAGCUCAGUAGUGUAUGUGGUAUGCUACCAGAUGGUGAGUUUUUUGCUUAGUACCAUAGGAUCUCUGGCCUAAUGAGUGAAGUUAGAUAGUAAUCCUUGCUACAAUU